rnacentral:rRNA from 1 species
GAUGAACGCUAGCUACAGGCUUAACACAUGCAAGUCGAGGGGAAACGGCAUUGAGUGCUUGCACUCUUUGGACGUCGACCGGCGCACGGGUGAGUAACGCGUAUCCAACCUUCCCAUUACUGUGGGAUAACCUGCCGAAAGGCAGACUAAUACCGCAUAGUCUUCGCUGACGGCAUCAGAUUUGAAGUAAAGAUUUAUCGGUGAUGGAUGGGGAUGCGUCUGAUUAGCUUGUUGGCGGGGUAACGGCCCACCAAGGCGACGAUCAGUAGGGGUUCUGAGAGGAAGGUCCCCCACAUGGGAACUGAGACACGGUCCAAACUCCUACGGGAGGCAGCAGUGAGGAAUAUUGGUCAAUGGACGGAAGUCUGAACCAGCCAAGUAGCGUGCAGGAUGACGGCCCUAUGGGUUGUAAACUGCUUUUGUAUGGGGAUAAAGUUAGGGACGUGUCCCUAUUUGCAGGUACCAUACGAAUAAGGACCGGCUAAUUCCGUG